GAUAACAGGCUGAUUUUCCACAUCGACGGGAAGGUUUGGCACCUCGAUGUCGGCUCUUCGCCACCUGGAGCUGCAGGUGGUUCCAAGGGUUAGGCUGUUCGCCCAUUAAUGUGCCCUUCCAGUACAGUACACAGUUCACGAGAAGGCUA
rnacentral:ncRNA from 1 species